rfam:Picea glauca, whole genome shotgun sequence.
GUGCGAUCAUACUAGUUUCAAUGCACCGGAUCCCAUCGGAACUCCACAUUUAAGUGCGUUUGGGCUAGAGUAGCACUAAGAUGGGUGACCUCCCAGGAAGUCCUAGUGUUGCACCCU